ACCCCAGAUGAUCUAGAAGUGAACAAUCUACGAUACAAAGUUGGAUACAUCUAAAGGCCUACCACGAGGCCACCAUGUUGGAAGGUAAUUAAAUUCAACUUCAAUUGCAGAAAUACACUUUGUAUAUCAAACUAAUGAAUAAUUAAAAGAGAUGAGAAAAAGGAAUGGAUGCUUUGGCCAAAGCUUAGUACCUCAUCCAUGCAUACUUUGGUUUCUUUAUCAUCCACUUCAUGACCUCAUUUUCCACGAACCACACACAUAUGGCCAUGGGCUCACCGGCUGACGCAUGCUACGCAGACAACACACUAGGCAAAUUUGCAAGCUAGAUAGAGCGCAGGCAUUUAUCCAAUUAUCAAAUACCUGUUUAGAGGUUCAGAAUUUA
rnacentral:misc_RNA from 1 species